AGUGAACGCUGGCGGUAGGCCUAACACAUGCAAGUCGAACGGCAGCACAGUAAGAGCUUGCUCUUACGGGUGGCGGGUGGCGGACGGGUGAGGAAUACAUCGGAAUCUACUUUUUCGUGGGGGAUAACGUAGGGAAACUUACGCUAAUACCGCAUACGACCUACGGGUGAAAGCAGGGGAUCGUCGGACCUUGCGCGAUUGAAUGAGCCGAUGUCGGAUUAGCUAGUUGGCGGGGUAAAGGCCCACCAAGGCGACGAUCCGUAGCUGGUCUGAGAGGAUGAUCAGCCACACUGGAACUGAGACACGGUCCAGACUCCUACGGGAGGCAGCAGUGGGGAAUAUUGGACAAUGGGCGCAAGCCUGAUCCAGCCAUACCGCGUGGGUGAAGAAGGCCUUCGGGUUGUAAAGCCCUUUUGUUGGGAAAGAAAAGCAGCAGGUUAAUACCCCGCUGUUCUGACGGUACCCAAAGAAUAAGCACCGGCUAACUUCGUG
rnacentral:rRNA from 1 species